UUGCUCCUUUGAAGUUAGCGGCGGACGGGUGAGUAACACGUGGGUAACCUACCUAUAAGACUGGAAUAACUUCGGGAAACCGGAGCUAAUGCCGGAUAACAUUUGGAACCGCAUGGUUCUAAAGUAAAAGAUGGUUUUGCUAUCACUUAUAGAUGGACCCGCGCCGUAUUAGCUAGUUGGUAAGGUAACGGCUUACCAAGGCAACGAUACGUAGCCGACCUGAGAGGGUGAUCGGCCACACUGGAACUGAGACACGGUCCAGACUCCUACGGGAG
rnacentral:rRNA from 1 species